GAUGAACGCUAGCGGCAGGCUUAAUACAUGCAAGUCGAGGGGCAGCAGGGUGUAGCAAUACACUCGCUGGCGACCGGCAAACGGGUGCGGAACACGUACGCAACUUACCCAAAACUGGGGAAUAGCCCGGGGAACCCGGAUUAAUACCUCGUAACAUAAUGGAGUGGCAUCACUUUAUUAUUAUAGCUCCGGCGGUUUUGGUA
rnacentral:rRNA from 1 species